GAUGAAGAACGUAGCGAAAUGCGAUACGUAAUGUGAAUUGCAGAAUUCAGUGAAUCAUCGAGUCUUUGAACGCACAUUGCGCCCCCUGGUAUUCCGGGGGGCAUGCCUGUCCGAGCGUCAUUGCUGCCCUCAAGCACGGCUUGUGUGUUGGGCCUCCGUCCUCCUCCCGGGGGACGGGCCCGAAAGGCAGCGGCGGCACCGCGUCCGGUCCUCGAGCGUAUGGGGCUUCGUCACCCGCUCUUGUAGGCCCGGCCGGCGCUUGCCGACACAUCAAUCUUUUUUCCAGGUUGACCUCGGAUCAGGUAGGGAUACCCGCGGAACUUAAGCAUAUCAAUAAGCGGAGGA
rnacentral:misc_RNA from 1 species